rnacentral:rRNA from 1 species
AGAGUUUGAUCCUGGCUCAGGAUGAACGCUGGCGGCGUGCCUAACACAUGCAAGUUGAGCGAGAAAUCACUUAAAGAAGCUUCGGUAGACUUAAGAGAUGGAGAGCAGCGGACGGGUGAGUAACGCGUGGGAAACCUGCCCUUGACAGGAGGAUAGCCGAGAGAAAUUUCGAUUAAUACUUCAUAAAGCAGAGCAUUCGCAUGGAUGAACUGCCAAAGAAUUAUCGGUCAAGGAUGGUCCCGCGUCUGAUUAGCUGGUUGGUAAGGUAGCGGCUUACCAAGGCGACGAUCAGUAGCCGGCCUGAGAGGGUGAACGGUCACAUUGGAACUGAGACACGGUCCAGACUCCUACGGGAGGCAGCAGUGGGGAAUAUUGCACAAUGGGCGAAAGCCUGAUGCAGCAACGCCGCGUGAAGGAAGAAGGCUUUCGAGUCGUAAACUUCUGUCCAAAGGGAAGAAUAAUGACGGUACCUUUGAAGAAAGCCCCGGCUAACUACGUGCCAGCAGCCGCGGUAAUACGUAGGGGGCGAGCGUUAUCCGGAAUUACUGGGCGUAAAGAGUAUGUAGGUGGUUAAGUAAGCGUAGGGUUUAAGGCGACAGCCCAACUGUCGUAUGCCCCGCGAACUGUUUAACUUGAGUACAGGAGGGGAAGGCGGAAUUCCUAGUGUAGCGGUGAAAUGCGUAGAUAUUAGGAGGAACACCAGUGGCGAAGGCGGCCUUCUGGACUGUAACUGACACUGAGAUACGAAAGCGUGGGUAGCAAACAGGAUUAGAUACCCUGGUAGUCCACGCCGUAAACGAUGAGCACUAGGUGUCGGGGUCGUAAGGCUUCGGUGCCGUAGUUAACGCAUUAAGUGCUCCGCCUGGGGAGUACGCACGCAAGUGUGAAACUCAAAGGAAUUGACGGGGACCCGCACAAGCAGCGGAGCAUGUGGUUUAAUUCGAAGCAACGCGAAGAACCUUACCAGGACUUGACAUCCCACUGAAAGCUCGGUUAAAACUGAGCCCUUCUUCGGAACAGUGGAGACAGGUGGUGCAUGGUUGUCGUCAGCUCGUGUCGUGAGAUGUUGGGUUAAG